ensembl:snRNA U6 U6 spliceosomal RNA
AACAGUAAGUGUUCACUGAAAAUAUUAGAAUGAUAUGCAAAAGAUUGGCAUGACCCCUGCACAAGGAUGACAAACAAAUCUGUGAAAAAUUCUAUAUAAAA